UACGUAGGGUGCAAGCGUUAAUUGGAAUUACUGGGCGUAAAGCGUGCGCAGGCGGUUGUGCAAGACCGAUGUGAAAUCCCCGGGCUUAACCUGGGAAUGGCAUUGGUGACUGCACGGCUAGAGUGUGUCAGAGGGGGGUAGAAUUCCACGUGUAGCAGUGAAAUGCGUAGAGAUGUGGAGGAAUACCGAUGGCGAAGGCAGCCCCCUGGGAUAACACUGACGCUGAGGAGCGAAAGCCAGGGGAGCAAACGGG
rnacentral:rRNA from 1 species